rnacentral:rRNA from 1 species
GAUGAACGCUGGCGGCGUGCCUAAUACAUGCAAGUCGAGCGAACAGACGAGGAGCUUGCUCCUCUGACGUUAGCGGCGGACGGGUGAGUAACACGUGGAUAACCUACCUAUAAGACUGGGAUAACUUCGGGAAACCGGAGCUAAUACCGGAUAACAUGUUGAACCGCAUGGUUCAACAGUGAAAGACGGUCUUGCUGUCACUUAUAGAUGGAUCCGCGCCGCAUUAGCUAGUUGGUAAGGUAACGGCUUACCAAGGCAACGAUGCGUAGCCGACCUGAGAGGGUGAUCGGCCACACUGGAACUGAGACACGGUCCAGACUCCUACGGGAGGCAGCAGUAGGGAAUCUUCCGCAAUGGGCGAAAUCCUGACGGAGCAACGCCGCGUGAGUGAAGAAGGUCUUCGGAUCGUAAAACUCUGUUAUUAGGGAAGAACAAAUGUGUAAGUAACUAUGCACGUCUUGACGGUGCCUAAUCAGAAAGCCACGGCUAACUACGUG